rnacentral:lncRNA from 1 species
AACUAAGUAAUAACAUUUGAUAAUAGUGAUCAUGAUUGCAAAUACUAAAUGUUUCUGUUAACAAUAUUCUAUAUUCGUUUUUAGAUAUAUUAAUUACUGUGAUAUGAAUUUUAAGUUAAGUAUAAAUUUGUGUUAAAUUAAAAAGUACUAUUUUUUUUGCUUAAGAAAAAUAGAGUGAUUUCAUUUAUCAAAAUAGUUUGAUGUGUUAAUCGGUUGAAGGUGAGUGUGGCUG